rnacentral:rRNA from 1 species
CCUUGUCAUUAGUUGCUACGCAAGAGCACUCUAAUGAGACUGCCGGUGACAAACCGGAGGAAGGUGGGGAUGANNUCNANUCNUCAUGGCCCUUAUGGGUAGGGCUUCACGCGUCGUACAAUGGUCGGUACAAAGGGUUGCCAAGCCGCUAGGUGGAGCCAAUCCCGGAAAGCCGAUCGUAUUCCGGAUCGCAGUCUGCAACUCGACUGCGUGAAGUCGGAAUCGCUAUUAGUCGCGGAUCAACAUGCCGCGGUGAAUACUUUCCCGGGUCUUGUACACGCCCCCCUUCACACCAUGGGAGUGGGUUUCACCACAAGACGCUACCCUAAUCGUAAGGGGGGCGGUCGCCACGGUGAGAUUCAUGACUGGGGUCAAGUCUUGGGUAGGUAUCCGUAUCGGAAGGUGCGGCUGGAUCGCUC